rnacentral:miRNA from 1 species
UACUGUGUAAUCGCAAUGCUCCAUUGUGAUAUCACAAAACCAAAUUGUGAAUUCACAAUUGUGCACUGUUGUCUAAUGCUCCACUGUGUUAUCACACU